rnacentral:pre_miRNA from 1 species
CAACCGAAUACGAGAAUUGGAUGGAACCAAAUCUGACGGCAAGAGCAAGCCAAGACUUGGUUUCCUCCAAUUUCUCAUGUUCAGUUG